GGCUCCCAAGAUCCACAUCCGAACAAUGUCUGCCCUGGCGGAGGAUUCUGGUGUUCUUGUGCCAUCUGUCCCAGAAAAACUCCUGUUCUGGAGACAAUGAAGAAAACUGGAGAGCUGAAGGAAAGAAAACAUGAGUCCACUCAUUGCCCAGGUUUGCUCCUUGCCCUGGGACUGGGGCUCCUGGGGCCAGAUGGGCCACAGCUCCAUGAUGGGCUCCUUUUAUGCCCUCCUACCUCAGCCAUGCGGGCAGAGCACACCUUCUUGGGCCAUUACAAACCGUCUACAGCUGUUGAUGCCAGCUCUCCUCUGCAAGAAUUAUUCUGUGGCCGAAUGCCCCCCACCCUGACUCCAGUCCCGUGGUAUUUUUUCCUCCACCAUCAAAACUCUAUCCUACUUUUGAGGAACCUGAGAGACCAAGGACACCGUGCUGUACUCCCAUUGCUGUGACCACUUUUGAAAGAAAAGUCCCCAAGGAGGCUCACUUGUGCCAUGGCAGGGUCAAGUUUCAGAGAAGCUCCUCUUGAGUUCCUUUGUUUUCCAGAGACUUCCUGAAACACAUAAAAUACAUUUUUUUUAAAAUUUAAAAAAAAAUUCGUUGGUUAUGGAAAUCUUCCAUCUCACCGAAGCUGGGAACUCUCACUUGCCUGCCACCUGGUUUCAACAGCAAUUCAUUUUCUGCCAUCCUUAUUUCCUCCAUGACAGACACUCCUGUGUGCCUGGAGUGUUUUAAAGGAAAUUCCAGACAUCAGACCUUAUUCUUCCCAAUGAAUAACUCAUAUGGAGCACUGACAGAUAAGGAUUAAAAUGAUACUUUAUAUUAAAAAGCAUUUUGAUGUAAUGAGAGAAGAGAGAAUAGUUUUAUUUUUUGUGGUACUGAACCCAGGGUGCUCUACCACUGAGUUGCAUCCCCCAGCCUUUUUUAUUUCUUAUUUUGAGACAGGUCUCACUAAGUUGCUGAGGCUGGCCUCAAACUUAGGAUCCUCCUGCCUCAGCCUCCUGAGUAGCUGGGGUUACAGGCAUGCAUCGCCAGCCCAGAGAGAGAAAGUUUAGUGAUCUUGGUGUAUCAUGGUUAGCUCCAACAAUGACCAACACCUAGACAAGUAUCUUUCCUUUACUCUCUCCCCUUCCCCCAUUUUUGAAGCAUUUUGGAAGCCAAUAUGACAUCAUUUCAUUCAUAAGAUCUGCAAAUAUGUGCCUCUCAGGCAUUUUCUUUUAUUUUUAAAGCAUAACUCCCAAAGUAUUAUGACUAAACAAUUGAAGCAAUAAUUCCUUAAUAUCAUCAACAAUGUGCAUGUCCCUGAUUUAAAACAAUCUUGGCUGUUAGAAUCGCGAUCCUAAUAAAGUCCACAUGUUGCAUGUGGCUGAAAAGCC